rnacentral:lncRNA from 1 species
CCGCCUUCACACUUGGAACAAUUAAUUUUAUAGUUUUUGAUUUCGUGUAUAAAUAGAGUGCCCAGCCUCUGUUAUAUUGUGUGGAGAGAAUUGAGAGAAACACAAGUAAGAGAAAGAGAGAGAGGGGGCAUGUAUUGUGUUAAGUUUGAAUUAAUUGUAAGCUUCGGUUUUGUGUAAUAAAACAGUGUGUUUUAUCCCCUCUGAGUGUUUCAAAGCCACCACCAGUGGCUUCUCCCACCAACACUUUUCACGAUCCACAAAUGUUGUAGCAAAGCUCCUUGUUUGAUUUCUGACUUCAGACGGAUCAUAGAAGACCGGCAAAAUUAUGCAGUCAGUAUUGCUCUUACGUUCCAUGAUCAUUACAAGUUCAUCGAGGCACCACCGCGACAAAGCAUAUGCUUUGGAGAACACGAUUAUCGAUAUUUUUUAUUGUUGUAUUGCCUACUGGAGCUCUGACUUUAUAUUUUCUCCUCUCCCAAUUUCAUCAUCGUCUCUAAAUGUGUGAAUCCCUGCUUGAACCAGGGCUGUGUAGAGGUGAUCGGUAAAGUUCUUGCGGGUGUCUUCCCCUCUAAAACUCAAGAACACUUGAUAUUUACAAUUAGAAAACCGAGAAGAGUAGGAUUCUUGAUAUUUCCCAGCAGCCAUUUCGAGUCUAGCAAAGAUAAGACUUUACAAAGAUCUGGACAAAAAAAAAAGGAAUUGCAGGAUUCUAGAUAUUUCCCAGAAGCCAUUUCGAGACUAGCAAAGAAAAAAAGUUGCAGGAUGAAUGUCGAUAAUUCAAGAUCGAUAGCACAACAAUUAGCUGAAGUAUUUAUAUAUCAUUAUCCUACUUUUUCUUUAUAACAGCAAUCAACUCCCCCAGACCCUUUCAGAUAAAUAUCUGUACAUAUGUUAACCGCACUUGCUACCACGCAUUUAGAAGCACAGAUGGAGCAGGAAAGGAAAGUCAUUAAGGAUCCCCAUCUGGCUAUGUAAGCCUUAAUUAUUUAGAAAGCACACAUCUUGUAAUCCUUACAAAGCCCACGGGGGUGAAUUUGUUAGUUUAUAAUUUUUUGAGUGGCAUAAUAUGAUGAGAUGAUGAACAUGUAGUCACUAACAGUGGUUUAAUCUAAGCGAUUAUCAACAAAGAAAACAAGACAGCAGCUGGAUUGGAACCAAAGUAAACAAGAGAUAAGAAAGAGAGAGUACCUGCAAGUUUCCCUUCCCUUCUCUCUUCAGUUGUGGCUGCUGUUCUGUAUCAGUAAUCUAAGCGGUUCUGCUCCACAAUUUUAAGACAACCCUUCAAGUCUUUGUGGCACAAUAUUAUAAUAAAAUAUUUUAUUAUAUAGGAAUGCGAGGUAUAGUUACCAAAAGGGACAUUAGACACCCGCAUAAUCCAACUCAUCCACUCUCGCUGUGCCCCUGCUCUGGCCGUAUCUCUAUCCUCUCGCAUCCAAAACCAGCAUCAACACCACCCACCAAUAAGAAAAAGGCACGUGGAGGAUCAUGACUCUGAAUCAGCUACUGGGUCGGCUACCGAGUGGUGUUCCGUUUUGAGCCAUUGAGUAUUGCUGUGGAGUGGAGGGACAUUGAAGCUGCACAAUGUUUGGUGUCUUUGGCUAUAAAGUGUGGGCUUAAGGAAUCAGGGAUUACAAGUGCUGAUGGCAAGAGGGCUAUUGAGUGGGGGUUUUAUAAGAAUGGAGGUUCCAUGGAGUGAUAGUAAUAGGAUUCUGUUGUCAAAAGAGUGUGUGAGGUUUCCCGUUGACUUGGCUCGUCAGAAAAUUGGAAGAGAACUCGAGCGUUUUUUAGUUGUUUAAGAGAAAACAGCAAAUGGGCUCGUCAGAUAAAAAAUUACUAAUUAAAUUUUAUCAUGUGUUAUUUUUAUUUUAUUUUUUAUAUAAAAAAAUGAAAUAAAAUAGAUAAAAUAACAUGAAAAUUGGAAGGUUAACUUAUAUUUAAUAUGUCUUAUUAUAAAUGCAAAUUAAUAAAAUAAUAUCAUAUUACAUUUUUUAAUAUGAAACCCUUAUAAAUACUUAUAAAUAAAAGAUCUCAUGCUAUUUCAUGAUAAGCUUUCCAAGAAAAAAGAAAAAACUAUUUCAAAAGCUUUCCAGUUUUUUUGAUUUUACGGUUGAAAUCUAAAAAAGCAAACCUCUACUUAAUGAAACCUAAAAUAAUACAGGUUCUAGACCCUUCUUUGCAAAACUCCAAAAAGUGUAAUUGCGAGUCCUGUGUUUACCAUGGAAAGCACAAUUAUAAUUUCUAACUAUAUGAGAAGCUAUUUGUACUUUGGCUACGUGUGCUGCAUCAUCAUCAUCAUCGCUACUGUUGUGGGCAUUGAUAACUUCAUCCUUUCCUUCCUCUUCAUGCAACCAUUGUACACCAACGGUCCUUAUUUGGAUAGCUGGACCACGUGGACGCACUGAAAUACUCACGUCAUCACCAUUAUCAAAUGUAGGAUCAUUGCCCCCCUAAUUUCGUGUGCAAUAGCGAUUGGAUUUCCCGAUCACCACACGCGUACUGUUUGACAAAGGAUUGACAAAGCAAGGAUCGACCACUCGUAUUGUUUCUGAUUUCAAUAUGAACAUUACUAAAGCCACGGUAUGCUGACGUCACACAACUUAUGAACAGAUUAAAGCCACAUAUCCGGUGCGCAGGAGGUGAUGAGGAUAUUUUGAAUGAAAAGUUAUCUACAAACUCAUUCUGAAUUAGCCAUUUAUCCUCCACAUGAAACCCCCUUAACAUCUCAUCUUCAUCAAAUACAUAUACGGCAACGUUGAAUGUGCCAUCUAUAAAUGAUAUCUGUACCAUCAAAACAAUGUCUAUAAAAUGAGAAAAAGAAAAGUAUUCAAAUGUAGAUUUCCAAAACAAUAAAAUGGGUGAAGGAGGACCUGAAAUCUCGAUGGCUGUAUUUGAGCACUAACCGUUUCCAUUAUUGUGAACAUUUGAGAGUCUAACUUUUGGAUUAAUCCUUGCUUUAUCCGAUCUUGGAACUCGAUUAAGUGAUCACAACCAUCUCCUUCAGGCCUACUGUAUGGAUUUGCAAGUCUUUGCAGUGAAUAGCAAAAGGACACAUCUAACAACUCCAAAAGGAAUGGAAGCUCUGGGAGUGCCUGAAGCAUUUUGCAAUUUCUUAAAUAUAGGUGUCUGAGUAGACCAAGAUCCUUGAUGCUUUCUGGAAGAAAACGAAUUGGAGUUCCACUUAAAUCUAGACUCUCCAAGAAGCGUGGCAGUAAAAACGAGGUAAAUCUCAACAUUUUCCUCGUUGAAAACCUAGAGGGAAAGAAUAGCUUCAAUGGAAGAGAUGUAAUGUACGAUGCACUUGCAACAAUUCCAUCACUUUGAAGCAACUUGCGCCCCUGAUGAUGCUCUAACUCCAUAUUCAGGCUGUUAAGAUUUGAACAACCAUCUAAAACCAGCUCUUGAAGUGAAUUCAAUCUACUCAUUCCUUCUGGAAGCUCCAUAAGACUUGUACAAUUUCUUAGAUUUAAGAUUAACAAUCUUUGUAAAUCACCAAUAGAUUCGUGAAUUUGAACCAAACGGAUGCAGUCUUCAAGUAUUAGCUUUUCAAGGGCUGGGAGACCCGAGAAGUCUGGGGUUCUAAUGAGAUCUUGAGAGUGACGGAGAUCAAGAAUUUUCAAUUUUGGAAGAAACUGUGAAAAUACAUGAAUUUAGUUGUUAUCAAUUGAAAACGAGAGAGAUAACUAUAAAGAGACUUGAUACAUACCGGUGUUUUCCCUUCCAAGCAUCAACUAGACAACUUCUGGAUAGAUCAAGAACCACCAGCUUCUCCAAGCAUACGUGAUUUGGUAUGGAGCUCCAAGACAAUCCAUGCCAACAUAACCAUAUCAAAUUCCUGGGAAAGUGCUCAAAACUUCCAUGAAAAUUAGUGUAGUUUAGUUGGAGAAAUUUUACAUCUGUCAUCUUUCUAAAAGCAUUCGUGCUGAGGAUAGGAAACAAACUUGUUUGGCCAGUUUGUAAUUUUCCCUCAUAGGAAAAAUCAGAAAGCCAUUGUUGAAAGAAGUUAACCCUGCGGCGCUUUCGGCAAACCAUUGAAUCAGUACAGACAACUUUUGCAUAAUUAUCUUCCAUUAAUGCAUGCAUAUCAAUAGUAAGGCCACGCAAAUUUUCAGCAUCCUACAUAAUAAUAUUAAGAGUACAUGAGAAAUGAAAGUAAAUGAAAUAAUAUGUUAAGGCACCACAAACCAUUUAAGUAGAUAUAUUAAAAAAAUUGAGCUACUUACAGUAGUUCCUUUCAAAACUGUAAAAGCAUCCUCGUGACGCCAUAUUCUUUGACAUUUGGGAGAUUCUUGACGAGCAAUUUCCCUUCCCAUAGCUCUUACGAGUUGAUGCAUCCACAACCUUUUAUCAUUGUUGAUUUCAAUAAGACAUCUAUCGAUGAGAUUGUCAAUCCCAAAUCUUGCACCUUUAUCGAGCCCAUCCAGUAUCCUAACUGCAUCAUCCACAUCCAUUCCAUUGAUGAAACAUGCGAUAUCAAGGAAUAAGUUCUUCAGAUAAUCACCAUCAAGAAAGUCGUAACUUAUUCGAAGAACCUUAUGAACUUCAAAAUUAGGAAUCACUUCCAUUUGUUGUAAUGCACUUUCCCAUAUCUCUCUUCCUUUUCCAGACAAUGAAGAGCCAAUAACUCCAAGAGCUAAUGGAAGUCCAUUACAAUGAUGUACUAUUCUCCAAGAGUCUUCUACAAAACCAUCAACAGGGUCAGCUUGUCCAAAGGCAUUCCAACUGAAAAGCUCAAGUGAUUUUCAUCAUCUAGCGGUUUGACUUUUGCACCUGACCCACUCAAUAUCAUUAGCUGAAAACAGACCCUUAUUUCUGGUUGUUACAAUGAUUUUACUUCCUUUACAAAGCCAAGUUUGCAUGCCAAUGAUUUUAUUGAAUUGGUCCCUUUUGUCCACAUCAUCUAGAACAAUAAUAGUUUUUCUGCAACAUAAUGCAUCCUUAAUCUUCAGAAUUCCUUCAUCAGGAUCAUUUAUCUCAACAGUCUUGUUUAGGAUGUCGAAAAGAAGUUGUCUCUGCAGGCAAACUAUAUCCUUUAACCUAAAAUUUGAUAGAAAGCUCUUUCCUUCAAAUUCAUAAAAGUUAUGGUUAAAAACACUCUUAGCUAUGGUUGUCUUACCAACUCCACCAAUUCCAUAGAGUAAAGCAAUGGCAGCACCAUGGGACCCAUCUUGCAACCAUGAGUUGAUAUCUUGUACUAGAGGAUCUCUUCCAAUGAAAUGAGGGGUACAUGAAACAUUUUUUUGAUCCAAAUUCUUUAAGACUUCUCCACAAUAGAUUGGACAAACGGUGCCUCGUACCUACAUCAAAAAGUAAAAACAUACAACGAUAAUUAGUAGUCUCUCUAUAAGCAAUAGAAAUUAAAGCAGGUUGUGUGUCAAUGAUUUGAUAGUUUAAACCAAAUCAUGAUUGGAAAAAAAAAAAACAACGAAGAAAUCAUGAGUAUUUUAUUUUAUUUUUGUUAUAUGUUUUCUUAUCAGUACACUUAACUGAAAGAAAUUAAGAGUUCACGACCAGCAUUCUAAUCUUAUGCUAUGUAUAGUUUCAUAAAGAGAUACAACUUACCCAUCUCCUAGAACCAUUCCAGCUAAAUCAGCCACUUCCUUUAAAGCAAUCCUCCACCCAUUCACCCGCUCCAUCUCCUUGUUGAAGCUCUUUUCAUGUUCCACAAAUGCUGCAGAGAAGCUCCCUGUUUGACGUCCGACUUGGGAUGGAUCCACAUCAUAGAAUACUGGCAAACUAUGCAGUCAGCAUUCCUCUUACGUUCCAUGAUCAUUACAAGUUCAUCAGGCACCAUCUCGACGAAGCAUAGUCUUUGGAGAACACGAUUAUCGAUAUUUUUGAUUGUUGUAUUGCCUUCUGGAGCUCGAAAUCUAUAUUCUCUCCUCUCCGAAUUUCAUUAUCAUCUCUAAAUGUGUGUGAAUCCCUGCUUGAACCAGAGCCGUGUAGAGGUGAUCGGUAAAGUUCUUGCGGGUGUCUUCACCUCUAAAACUCAAGAACACUUGAUAUUUACAAUUAGGAAACCGUGAAGAGUAGGAUCUUGAUAUUUCCCAGCAGCCAUUUCGAGUCUAGCAAAGAUAAGACUUUUCAAAGAUCUGAACAAAAUAAAACAGUUUUCAAGAUUGAGAGAGAAAGGGUGGAUUGUAAAUUUAAGACAAGUCAUCCCCACAAGUCCACUCUCUCUAUGGUAUGGAACGUUUCCGCGUGAGGAAUUUUCCAUGGCUAAUUAAUGUCUAGGCGUGGAAAAUUUUGCAUGGAAAGUUUUGGUGCCGGGAAUUGAUGGCUAUUGACAUCGUGAAGUAAGAAUCAAGUUAGAAAAAUCUAAUUAAGAGGAGAAGUUUAUGGCUAUUCACAUCAUUUCGGCCAAAAAUUCUAUCGAAAAAUUAAGGGGUAAGAAACCCAGGCGAUAAGAAACCGCGAAGAGUAGGAUUCUUGAUAUUUCCCAGCAGCCAUUUCGAGUCUAGCAAAGAUAAGACUUUUCAAAGAUCUGAACAGAAAAAAAAUAAAAUAAAACGAGUUGCAGGAUUGAUGUCGAGAGUUCAAGAUCGACAGCACACCAAUAAGCUGAAGUAUUCAUAUAUUGUUAUCUUACUUUAUCUUUAAAACAGUUUUCAAGUUAUUUCCCAGCAAUCAAAUCCUCCAUGCCCUUUCUGAAAAAUAUCUGUACAUAUGAUUAAUUUAAGUGAUUCUAAAAAAUAUUUUUUUUAUUUUUUUUAUUUUUAUUUUUUAUUUUUUUUAUCCUUCAAAAAAAAAAGAGAGAGUACCUAUAAUCUUUACUUGUAAGACCAUCUCCAGGAGAAAAUGUUAUUUUGAAGAGUUUAAUUGAUAAAAUAAUAUUUUAAAUAGUAUAUAUAUAGUGUUUUUAUUUUUUUAAUAAGUUUAAUGUUAUUUUUUUAUAUGUUUAUAUUUAAUUGAUUUAUUUUUUUAUGGUCUUAUUUUGUUGGUUUUGAUGUUUUUAAAAGAUACGUAAGAAUAAUAUUUGUGAUAGAGAAAAACAAUUUUAUUUAAUAUUUUUUUUUAAAUAUGUAAAAUAAACAUAAAAAAACUAAAAUAAUAUUAAGAUGAGGAUGCUAAAAAGUCAGCCUUGGAAGUCGCUGUGAUAUAAUUACCAAAAGGGACAUUAGACACACUCACACGGUUCUUCUUACUUCACCCACCAGUAAGAAAAAGGCACAUGGAGGAUAAGGCUCUCCAUAUCUGACUUGGAAAGUUUACUAGGGCCUGUAAUUCUUGCUGCAUCAUUUGAAUCUGCUGAAAGUAAAGUAGAUUUACGAAGAAUUAAUUGAAAAACAAAGCAAUUGGUUAAAUUAAAUAAAUUACUCAACUAGCAUAAUUUUUUUAUUAGUAUUUCAAUUAAAUAAUUUGAUUUGUUUUUUAUUUAGAAUUUGAGAUUUAUGGAAUUUGAGGUGUUUAAUGGUUUGUUCUCAUAUAUAAAAAACUCGUGAAUUAGACUUUUUAUAAAUAAAAUUUAAAUUUAAAUAAAAAAAAUAUUAGUUGAACUAAAUCUUGCUAACUCCCAAUAAAAUUGAAUCAUAUCAACAUCAAAUAAUUAUUUUUAAAACAAAAAGUAAAUUAAUCUUAUUUUUAUUAAAUAAUUGACUCAAGUUAAUUAUUAUUAUUUUUAUAAAAUAAUUGACUUAAGUUAAUUGGAUAACGCAGUUAUCAAAACUUAUUUUAAAAGCGUGUUUAGAAAUGUGAUAGCGAUUAUUUUUUAAAAUAUUUUUUAUUUAAAAAUAUAUUAAAAUAAUAUAUAUUUUUUAUUUUUUAAAAAUUAUUUUUGAUAUAAGUACAUUAAAAUAAUAUAAAAAUAUAAAAAAUAUAUUAAUUUAAAAUUAAAAUAUUUAAUUUUAAAAAAAACACUUCUAACACAUAAUACCAUGCACACCCUAUAUUUGUAAUCGGACCAGUCUACAACUGGGGCCCAAGACAUGGGCAUGGUUUUAAAAUUGAGAGAGAAAGGGUGGAUUGUAAUUUUAAGACAAGUCAUCCCUACAAGUCCACUCUCUCUAUGGUAUGGAACGUUUCCGCGUGAGGAAUUUUCCAUGGCUAAUGCAUGGAAUUGAUAUAUUGACAUCGUGAAGUAAGAAUCAAGUUAGAAAAUAAACUUCAGAAGUUGAUGGCUAUUGACAUCAUUUCGACCAAAAAUUCUAUCGAAAAAUUGAGGGGUAAAAAACCCAGACUCUACCCUUCGUAUUGUUUCUGAUUUCAAGAUAAACAAGACGAUAAGGAUUGCAUACUGACAUAGCAGAAAACCAUGUGAAUAGAUCAAAGCCACAUAUCCGGUACUCUUGUUCUUCCUCCUCGUGAAACCACAUUAACAUCUCAUUUUCAUCAUAUUCAAGGACAAUGUUGAAUCUGUUGCCCUAAAGUUGUAUCUAUUCCAUCAUAGCAGAAUUUAUAAAAUGAGCAAAGGGAAAAUUUUCUAGAUAUAUAAGAGCAAAAAUGUAGAGUUGAAAUAAAGCAGAACUUAUAAAAUGAGCAACGGAGAUCAAGAAUUUUAAAUUUUGGAAGAGACUGUGAAAACACUUGAAAUCAGUUAUUGUCCAUUGAAAAUAAGAGAGAUAGCUGAAUAGAGAGACUAGAUACAGAGCAUGCCUUUCCAAGCAACAAUUAGACUGGUUCUGAAUUCGAUUAAGAGCCACAAGCUUCUCCAAGCAGAAGUGCUUUGGUUUGGAUCUUGUAAUAACCCAACCCUUUUAUUUUAUUUAUAUUAUUAUUAUUAUUUUCCUUGAAAAAUGAUAAUAAAAAAAUAAUGAAAAAAAACAAAUAAAAAAAUAAAAUAAAUGAAGAAUGAAUUAAAAUUUGGGUUAACGGUAACAUGAGUGAAAGUUUUGGAAUUUAAUUAAACUUUGGAUUAGUUUUAUUAACCAAAUUAAGAGCUUAAUUGAGGAAUUGAUAAGUUUGAGACUUAAUUGAACUUGAAAUUAGUUAAUUAAUGAAAUCAGGGGCUUAAUUAAAUAAACAUCAAAGUUUAGGACUGAUCUAGUUACAAUUGCAAGAAAUUAAAAGCCAAUGACCAAUUUGUAAAUGGCGCUGAGAUCUAGGGGUCCAAUUAAAAUGUAUCCAGGGGGCUUGCUUACAAAGCUUUCAAAACAUCAGACCAAAACGAAAAUGGCCAUCAACACUGUUCAUUUUCUUCAACGAACUAGACCAGAAACGGAUGCCCCACGAUCCGCCUCAUUAUUUAGAGGCGACCGCAUGGCAUUAUCUGGCUCUAUAAAAAGCCAGAGAAAGACCAGGCACUCCGGGGGGGGGGGGCUGGGGGAAGGAGAAACGUAAAGAAAAACAGAGAGAAAGAACGAACAUCAUUGAAAAACUAAAGGGACGCCCUUGUCUUCUUCUUCGGUGGCAGCUCCAAAAGCUCCAUUUUCAGCAGGCACUGCUGUUAUUGCUUGAGAAGACCUAAAAAUACAGAGGGAAAAACUGGAAAAGGGAACAAACCAGGGGACUAAGGAAAACCAAAAGAACCCGAGAAGGAAACAGAGGUAGAAACCCGGGGAGGACAAAGAAAAAAAAACAGCCGAACAGAGGAGAGGGAGUGAAAGUAGGAAACACAGAAUCCGCAGAGAAGAACAGAGCAUAUACGGGGAGACUAAAAGAAAAAUAGAAAAAAACAAACACAGGCAAAGGUUGCACCGAGAGAAAGCUAAAGAAAAGAAAGAACCAGAGGAAAAGUAAACGAAAGGAGGAACAGCACGCCAUCGCCUUCAUCCUGCUCCCAGGUAAGUGUCUCCAAUUUUGCAAAAUAAUUCACCAACACUGUGCCCACUAGACCUAACCUAAAAAAAAUAAAAAUAAAGAUAAAAUAAAAUAAAAACAAGUAAAAUAAAAUAAAAUAAAUAUAUGCAUGCAUACAUAAAAAAUAAAUUUGGUUUAUUUACUGAUAACAGAGUUAUGAAUAAAAAUACUUAUUUAAAUUUAUUUUAUUAUAUUUUGUUAUUAUUAUUUUCUAGCUACGUAAUAUUUACUAAUGCUAGAGUUGAAAAUAUUUAUAGUUGAAUAUUCAUUGACACUAGAGUCGGGAAUAUUACAAGCAAACCAUCAGAGCAUAAACCAAUAAUUUUUUAGGAAUUUAAAAUAAAAUCAACAAUGCAGCCUGUCAUAGACAGGAAGUUUAAGAAGUGAUAAUAUCUUUAUUUUUAUAUAAUCAGUCUUGUACCAUAGAAUCUAUGUUGAUCAGUUAGGAUUUCUAGUGAACAUAAUACUAGAUGAUGACUCUUUAAACAAGAUCAUUCCCCCUAAAAAAACAAGAUGUCAAGUGUCUAUGCUUUUCUCUUAUAAGAUUUCAUUUUUACAUGGUCGCGCGAAGUCCAAUGUGACAUAUCUUAAAGGGAAUCCAUAUCAACAUAACUACAUCAAAUUCUUGGAAAAGUGUUAAUAACUUCCAUAGAACUUGUGUAAUUUAGCUGGAGAAAUUUUACAUUUUACAUCUUUCUAAAUGCAUCCGUACGUGCUGAGGACAAGAAACAAACUUGUUUGGUUAAUUUGUACUUGUUCCCCCAAGAAAAACUCAGAAAGCCACUAUUGAGAGAGGAGUGUAGGAAGAAGACAUUGUUGAAAGAAGUUAAACCUGUAGCGGUUGCAGGCGCACCAUUGAAUCAGUACAGACAACUUCUGUACUUAUUCAUGCAUAUACAGGGUAAGGCCACACAAUUUUUCAGCUUCAUGCUUCCAAAAUAUUGAAAGUAAAUGAGAAAAGAAAGUAAAAGCAUGAACAUUUUAAGACACCUAAAUACCAUGAAGAUAGGAAAACAGAACCAGUUACUCUUACACUUGUUUCUUUCAAAACUGUAAAAGCUUCCAUGUGUGAUGCCAUAUUCUUUGACAUUUGGGUAAUUCUUGACGAGCAAUUUCCCUUCCCAUGUCUCUUACGAGUUGAUGCAUUUAUAAAUUUUUUUUCAUUUUAUUUUAACAAUUUAUGAGAUAGUCAAUCCUUAAUCUUGCAUCUAUACCGAACCCAUCAAGUGUCCUAACUGCAUAAUUCUCAUCCAUUCCAUUGAAGAAAUAAGCAAUAUCAAGGAAUAAGUUCUUCUGAUAAUCAUCAUCAGGAGAGUUCUAACUUUUUGCAAGAACCUUUUGAACUUGACAAUUUGGAAUCACUUCCAUUUCAUGUAAUGCACUUUCCCAUACUUUUCUGCUUUUACUAAAAAAUGAAGAACCAAUAGCACAAAGGGCUACUGCAAGUCCAUUACAAUGAUGUACUAUUCUCCAAGAUUCCUCCAUAAAAUCUUCAACUGGGUAAGCUUGUCCACAGGCAUGCCAACUCAAAAGAUUAAGUGAUUUUUUGUUAUCUAGAGGUUCAUCUUUGCACUUGACACACUCACCAUCAUCUACAAUCAAAGCCUUAUUUCUAGUUCUUACAAUGAUUUACUUCCUUCGCGAAGCCAAUUUCGCGUGCCAACAAUUGCAUUGAAGUGGUCCCAUUUGUCCAUCUCAUCAAGAACAAUAAGAUUUCUUCUGCAACAUAACGCAUCCUUAAUAUAAUUAAUCCCUUCAUCAACAUCAUGUAUGUCAUCAGCAUUGUUUAGGAUAUUUGAAAGAAGUUGCCUCUGUAGGCAAACUACACCAUUGGAUUCUUUUGACUAUUCUCUAACAUUUGAUGGAAAGAUCCUACCUUCAAACUUAUGAAACUGCUGGUUAUAAACACUGUUUGCUAUGGUUGUCUUCCCUACUCCACCAAUCCCAUAAAGUAUAUCAAAGGCAGAACUGUGGGAGCCAUAUUCUUCCAACCAUAAGUUGAUAUGUUUUACUAGAGGAUCUCUUCCGAUGAAAUGAAGGGAGAUAUGAAAUAUUUUAUUUGUCGUAUAAGAUCAUGGUCACAAGAAAUUGUCGUAUUUUUUAAUUGUUGGUCCGUUUAUGGUUUAAGAAAAGUCCUCUUCGAUAAAAAGAUCAUUAUUUUAUCGGGUAAAAUCUAACCACUCUAACGUCAAAAAAAGAAUUUAAUAUCCUGAAUACGUCUUACGUAUAAGAUCAUAACCCUAGAUAUUAAAAGAAAAAAUAUAUUUUUUUGAAGUUUUUUUGAAAUAUUGGCCUAGUUCUCGCGAUUUUAAUAAACUGGUUAUUAAAGUCAAAAUGCAUGCUAAUACAUAUUUUUGAAGUUUUCUUUGUUAUAUGAAAGUACAAUAUGAUUUUUUUAGAGACUUGGCCGUAUGUAUGAAAACAAAAUAUUUUUUAUGUUUUGCCGAAGACCAGGUAUUUUAAUAUCGAAUUUGUAUCUUUACAGUAUAAAAAUACAAACCGAUAUUAAUUAAAAUGCAGUACAUUUUUUUGCAGAAAAUCACAGAUUUUUUUGAAAAAAAAACAAUUUUUUUUUUUUAAAACCGGAACUAGCCCAGGUUAAGCCAGUGACCCGGCUGCUUGCUCAACGAUUCAAGUGAAUUAUAAUUCAGUUGCUCAUUGAACUUGAACAGUAAAGAGCAACAAUUACUGUUCAAGUGAAUUAUAAUUAAUUCACUUGAACAGUAAAAGAUAACAAUGAAAAAAAGAAAAUGCAUGCAGUGACAGAAACAAUGCAAUGUGAAGAGAAAUGUGUGAGGCUUACCUAGUAUCUGAAACAGAUGAAGACGAUUGCAAUGAAACUGCUGCGCAGGAUCGGAGGUGACUGAUUUUGGGGACGAUGAAGACGAUCAACGCUGGGUCUUUUUUCUUCUGGUUUUUCCCUUCCCUUUUCUUCCUGUUUUUCUCCCCUGUAUUCCCCUCUCAGCGGUUCUUGGCGUGGCUGCUGGGAUGAAGAAGAUGAUGAGCUGACAAUGGCGUUGGCAGUGCUGGUGCAGUUGUGAUGGAGAAUGGCAGUGGCUGGUUUCUGGAAGAAUUGAAGAUGAUGACAAUUUGGUUUUAUUCCCUUGCCUCUGGUUCCAAAGGUCAAGGGACAGCGACGAUGGAGGCUGGUUGCUGUUGGUUUUUUUUCUUGCUUCUGUUCUUCUGCUCCUCUGUUAUCGUCUCCCUAUGCUUCCCAGUUCUCCUUCCUGUCUCCCUCUUUUUCUUUUUAUUCUCCCUGUUCUCUCUCUCUCCCUCUCUGUCUCGUCUUUCUCCUUUCCGUUACCCCCCUCUCUCUGUUUUUCUCCUGUCCGUUGUCCUCUCUGGUCUUUUUUUUUCUGUCUUUCCUCCUCCUUUUCAUCGUCUUUCUCUGGCUUUUAGAAGCCAAAGAAUGCCCUGCGGUGCAACGUUCAGCUUGGUAACGACAUGUAGAGGAAUAGUAGCCGUGAAAUAUUCCCCAUAAUUGAAGCAAUCUGCUGUUUUUGUCGCUGAAAUGGCUCCACUGUCUACUGAAACGGCUGUGAAGAAAGGGGAUGAAAUAGUGCUCUGAAACGGCGCCGUCUUCCUAUCAAAAUGGAUAUUUCUGAUUUGGUCCUUGUCUGUUUUGACAAUUUUCUAAUCAAGCCCCCGGAUGAAUUGUAAUUGGAUCCCUUGAUUUUAAUUUAUUUUUCCGGUUUAGUCCUUGGUUUCAAAUUGUUUCAAUUAAGUUCCUAAUUGGCCAUCAAACUUCAAUAAUUAUGCAAUUAAGCAUCUGAUUUGAUCAAAUCAACUCUUUAAAAUUAUAAUUGGACCCCAUAACUUUAAUUACUUCCAAUAAAAACCUAAAUUGACUUUAAAAAAUCAAUUUUCUUACAAUUAAACCAUCUAUAAAUUCAAUUAAACCUUGGAUAAAAUUUAAUUGAGUCCAUAAACAUUUUAUUUUAGAUUUUUCUUUCUCAACUUGAAUUUUAUUUGUCAAUAGAGCUCUCAUUAGUAGAAAAUAUAACGUAAAAUUUCAAUUCUUGUAUUUCUGAACCUCCUCAACUAAUUCCUAGUCAUUUUAUAAGAGUUCCAGCGUCUUUUUCUCACUCCUGUUAUUAUUAUUUUUUAUUUUUUCCAAAUAUAUUUUUUUUGUAUUUUUUUAUUUUUUAUAUGGAAAUCUAAAAAUAGAUAACAAUAGAAGAGGUAAUAUCGUUCAUUGUCUAAAUGCUUUACUACAAACCUGAAAAAAUUAAGAGUUCACUACCAGCAUUCUAGUCUUAUGCUAUUUGUAAUUUCAUUCAGAAAUACAACUUACCCAUCUUCUAAAACCAUUCCUCCUAACUCUGCAAUUUUCUUCAAAGCAAUCCUCCACCAAUUCACUCGCUCCAUCUCCUUCUUGAAACGCUUUUCAUGAUCCAAUAAUGCUAUAGCGACUUCAGAUGGAUCCACAUCAUAGAAUACUGGCAAAACUAUGCAGUCAGCAUUCCUCUUACACUCCAUGAUCAUUACAAGUUCAUCGAAGCACCACCUCGACAAAGCAUAAUUUAACAAUUAUUUUUUUAAUUGUUGUUUGUUUUAUUUUUUAUUAUUUUUUUAUUGAUUAAUUUUUUAAUUCCAUUCCUCAUCAUUUUAUUGAUCAGGGAUUUAAUUUCCUUAUUUUUGUAGGUUUAUCUUCUAUGAAGUUGGUUACAGUCUCAUAAUUUAGACUACAAGUUUUGAAAAAUAGGUUGAGUUCAUUUUAUUUUUUUAGGUUAUUUUUAAAAACUGAUAUUUUUUUUUAAAUCAUCUUUCAACAUUGGGUUGGUUAGGGGUUGAAUUUCAUGAAUUUGUUUUUGUAUUAUUUCAAUCUCAUGUCUUGAGUCGUAAUUUAGUGGGUUAACACAUGUCCUUUUGUUUUUCCAUUGUUUUUUUUAUAUUGGAUUGUUUUUCUCAGUUUUGCCCUUCAACAUUACAUUAUCUGAGAUUUGAGCUUUGUUGUUUUAUUCUUUUUUUUUUUACAAGGUUAUCCUGGUCUCAGGAUUAGGUUAUGUAUUUGGCUAACUGACUUGAGUGGAUCAGUCAAGUCAUUUUUUUUGUUUUCUUUUUUAAUUUAAUUUUUUUUUAAUUGUGUCCUUUAACAUUUGAUUGCUUAGAAUUGAGAUUCAUAUUUUUUUUAUAAGGUUGUCACAGUCUCAUUUGAUUUUUUUGCUUCGUUAUCAAAUACUAUGAGGAUAUAUUUUUGUAAUAUUGACAAGCGUUCUUUUUUUUACUUGAUCAUUGUGAAUUUUUUUUAGUUCGAUUUGUUUAUUGUUGUUGUCUAUUUUUUUAAUUAUAUUAUUAAAUUAAUUAUAUUUAUUCAACUAAGGCAACUUAACAACCUAAGUCUUUAAUUAUUUUUAUUUAAAAAAAAACAACUUGGUUGGCCGGAAGAAUUGUCAUCUUCAAUGUCGGAUGACAGAGGCAAACUAUAUUCUUUGAUCUAAAGUUUGACAGGAAGCUCUUUCCUUCAAAUUUAUAGAAGUUCUGGUUAAAAACACUCUUAGCUAUGGCUGUCUUUCCAACUCCGCCAAUUCCAUAGAGUAAAGCAAUGUCAGCACCAUGGGAUCCAUCUUGCAACCAUGAGUUGAUAUAUUGUACCAGAGGAUCUCUUCCAAUGAAAUGAAGGGGGACAUGAAAUAUUUUUUGAUCCAAAUGCUUUGAGACAUUCUCCACAAUAGAUUGGACAAAUUGUGCCUUGUAACUACAUCAAAACGUAAAGUACAAUUUACGAUAAUUGCUAGUCUCUCUCUAAAGGAUAAAAAUAGACAUCAUUUAGCUAAGAAAUUAAAGCAGGUUGCAUGUCAAUGAUUGAUAGUUAAAUUUGUAGGUGCGUUAUCACCACCUACUAAAACCAAAUCAUGUUUGGAAAAAAAAAAAAAACAAACAAAAAAAAAAAGAAAUUAUAAGUAUUUUUUUUUCUUUUAUGUUUUCUUAUCGGUCUUCCUUUAAAUACUUAACUGAAAGAAAUUAAGAGUUCACGACCAGCACUCUAGUCUUAUGCUUUGUGUAGUUUAAUCAAGAGAUGCAACUUACCCAUCUCUUAAAUCCAUUCCAGCUAAAUCUGCAACUUCCUUCAAAGCAAUCCUCCACCCCUUCACCCGCUCUAUCUCCUCCUUGAAGCGCUUUUCUUGUUCCACAAAUGCUGCAGCGAAGCUCCCUGUUUGAUUUCUGACUUCAGAUGGAUUCACAUGGUAGAAUACCGGCAAAACUAUGGAGCCGGCAGUCCUCUUAUGUUCCAUGAUCUUUACAAGUUCAUCGAGGCACCAUCUCGACCGAGCAUAGUCUUUGGAGAACACGAUUAUCGAUAUUUUCGAUUCUUGUAUUGCCUUCUGGAGCUCCAACUCUAUAUUCUCUCCUCUCCGAAUCUCGUCAUCAUCUCUAAAUGUGUGAAACCCUGCUUGAACCAGGGCCCAGUAGAGGUGAUCGGUAAAGUUCUUGCGGGUGUCUUCACCUCUAAAACUCAAGAACACUUGAUAUUUACAAUUAGAAAACCGAGAAGAGUAGGAUUCUUGAUAUUUC